AUGAUCCUUGAGUUUGGGACUGUGGAAAGAGUAAGCGGUCAGAGAGAACCAACAAAAGGAAAACUCUGCUCUCCUGAAAUAACCUGGCGAGGGCAGAAGCAAGAGAGGAGCCGGCGACCUUUUCCACCUGGCAUCGGAAGCCAAACAAAACAAAAUCUCCCAGCAAAAGUCUGUUGCUUCAAGUUUCCAGAGGCCAAACUGCAAGCUGGAAAGACAAACCGUCCUGACCUCCGGCUCUGCAGGCUGGCUUCUGAAACGCCGGGGCGUAAAUCUGCGCAGUCACUUCUCAGACACCUUCACCAUCCAAGAGAAAGUGCCACAAGACCCCCGGCACGUUGGCUUGCCACCCUGCGUCCAGCUCCCGCUGGCUCUGACACCCGGUGCCCAGCACGGAGCGAGAAGGCCCUAACCCGGAGGCACCUGGCUGGGGGUUGGAGGGGAGCCCCAGCGAGCAGCUGGGCGAGCGCAGGCCCGGCGCCCGGGGCAGCGAGAGCCGCCCUGCCCCUCAGCGUCUGGCCUGGGGAGGAAGGGCUGGCACCGACUGGGACAGGGCCACGGACUUCCCCGGGUGCCCGACACAGGUUACACGGCCGGCAGGAACGGGCAGCCCGGCACGAGCAGCCCGGGCGCAGCUCUGCCCCUGGGGCCGCCCCUGCUUCCUCCUGGCCGCGGGGAGCGCGCGGCAGGGCGGGGCAGGGCAGCCCGGUCCCUCGGACAGCAGCAGCAGCCCCGGGCGGGCGCAGCGGGAAGCGGAGCCCGCGCAGCUCGGCACUCACCUCGGCGGCGGCUCCGCGCAGGACACAGCGCCCGGGCGGGCGGGGAAGAGGCGGCGGCUCCGGGCGGGCACCGCACAGGCACCGGCACCGGCACCGGUACAGGCAGAGCCCCGCGCGCCGGGGGGCCGGAGCAGCGCAGGGGGGAGGGAGGAGGCCGCUCAGGCGGGCGGGGAGAGGGAGGAGCGGCCGGGCGCGACACACACACCGUUCGGUGCGGGGGGGGUGA
rnacentral:lncRNA from 1 species